rfam:Picea glauca, whole genome shotgun sequence.
GGGUGUGAUCAUACCACUGUUAAUGCACUAGAUCCGAUUAGAAAUCCGUAGUUAAGCGCGUUUGGGCUAGAGCAGUAAUGGGAUGGGUGACCUCCCGGGAAAUCCUAGUGUUGCACACU